GUAUAUUUGGCAGAUGAAAAUAAUGAAUCUCUUUUUCUCUUAUUCGUAUAAUUAUGGAAUUGUUUUCGCAAGUUUUCGAAGCUAUUACGAUAGUUUUCGAAAGAAUAGUUGAUAAAUCAUUAAUAAAAGUUCAUUGGUGUAUAGUUGGCAGAUCUUAGUUCAAAGAAUCGUUUUUUUUUUUUAAACGAUCAGAAAUCAUUUGGGUAUACAGAACUCGAAAAGUAGUUCGGCGACAAGGGUUCUCAUGUGUAUACAUAGAUACUCCCAUCUGAGACUUGUUUUCGUAAUGAAAUGUCAUGUUGACGUGUGAGGUUAUGAUCCCCAGUGUGCUGUUGUUUGCGGUGUGUAAAUAAUACAUGAAAAUGAAGAAUGUGCAUUAACAUUGGACAGCAAUCAAAUUGAAUCUUGUGAUUACUGGACGAGCAGCAACGGCAAUCGGCAAUGAAUUCGUUCGAGAGAUUAAAACUGUUGUACAUCUUCAAUGUACAUUCCCAAUCUGCCUAUACAAAUAAUGGCAGUCACAGACAUCGGAGGCGCCAACGCAUUUUUCAGCAGUAAACUCAGUCAUUUGUUCAUUACCGAAGGAAACACCACUGUUGAUAGAUUUCAGCUGCAUUUUACACUUACUUUUUCGAAGUGGUACGGGAAAAGAAAACCAUAAAUUGAACAAGCUUUCAACAUGGAAGAGCCUGGUAAUUUGAACAAUAGUAACAAAGAUACAUUGGAGUAUUCGGCACACCAUCCGACUGAAAGCCUCUUCCAAAACCAGAUUUAUACAUACAAUCUUGGUAAACAUUGUUUGAAUGCAUCUGAUUCUCCGUAAUAUAGGAAAUAUUUCAGGUAGUUAGCUCAAAGAAUAUAUUCAAGGUACUACUAAUUUUGUUGUAUAUUAAAUGAGCAAAUCAUUUUUUCUGAUAUUUCAGGAAUGAGAAAUUCUAUAAUUAAUUUUUACUGAUAACAAACGUAUUUUUGACUUUCAUUAAUAAAAAUAAUUCAUGGUAAUAGUGACUCCGUAAAGGAUGCUUGAAUUUUGAUGAUUAUCAUCAUUUUUUACAACUUGCAAAGUAUUCCAGCUCAAUUCCAAGCCUAAAUAUCCUUCAAAAUUAGUUUUCUCAUUCUUUUAAUUAAUCUUUUCAUGCUUUCAUUGGAGGAAUCCUAGGAUCGUUUAGAAGAUGCAGACAUAGACGAGGGUGGUAAAGUUAGCUGGGAGGAAAUAGUUCAAGAUACUUAUGGUUCAGAUGCAGAGGAUCUUGCUGCGGAGGACAGACUCAUCGCUGAUGACAAAGCUACAUUCAAUCUGGCCAAUCUUAACAACGAUGGACUUUUGAACAAAGAAGAGUUCAAAGCUUACACACAUCUCGAAGAGACUCAGAGAAUGUAUAUUCUUCUGUUGCAAUAAGGUCUUGAAGAAAAAGACGGACAAGGGCGGAAGCAUAAGCUUCCAGGAGUUUUUAGACAAUAGAGCUAAAAAUGAGGAUAAAGAAUAGCUUAUUGUUGAAAAAGACAAAUUCGAUUAUGAGCAUGAGGAAAAUCAGGAUGGCAAGCUCGACUCCUCGGAAGUACUGAUUUGGCUCCUGCCCAGUAACGAGUAAGUCUGAUUCAUCUCUAAGUCAGAUUUUUCUUAAUUACUUAAUACAAAGAUACAAAAUUGUCAAAUUUUUUAUAACUACGAGAAAAAUGUUCAGUUUAUAUUCGCAUCAGUCUGAAAGCACGUUUAAUAUCAUAGUAAAUUUUCUCCAGCUUAACGCGGGAUGGAUGAAGCCUGGGAGGAAGAGUAUGCGAUGGUCAUAAUCUACAAACAUGUCAAUUAAUCGGUUAAUUAAUAUAAUCUAAUUGUUAAUCUUAUGUUGAAUUUAUUCAUUUUAGCAUAUCUUUUAGUAAAUGGUUCGAACAGUGGUUACGUUUGCAAUUUGAUUCGACCAGCGGCUGAGUACUGUAUUAAAUCAUGCGUUUCUUCUGCUCUAUAAGCAGGGCUUGGUUCUACACCGGAGAAUCUUCCAGGCAGAGUCAGAUCUCUCACAACUGCGCAUUUAUUGCACAUAACAAAGUACACGACGUUUAUAAAAAAAAGUUAACGGCACAAGCACAACAUUUAUGCAGUUGACGUGUUCGAAUUCGUAAGCCCCCGCUUGCUAGUCAAAAUUCUGGGAGAGUUUUGUGAAUCACCAUGACAAAUGAGCCGAGAUUGUGACAAGUGAAUUCACAAUGGAACCAAAAAUUGACUGCGGCAUCACAGGACAAAUAAAUGAUGUUCAACUGAUGAACAAUGAGAUGUCUUCAGCUGUUAAAUUAAUGAAAUUAUGCAGAAAUGAACAUUCGUUUUAAUUUAAUUAAUAAAUGCAUUGUAUGAUUUAUAA